GUGAGGAAUAUUGCGCAAUGGAGGCAAUUCUGACGCAGCCAUGCCGCGUGCAGGAAGAAGGCGCUACGCGUUGUAAACUGCUUUUAACCGGGAAGAAACCCCAGGACGUGUCCUGGGUUGACGGUACCGGAGGAAUAAGCACCGGCUAACUUCGUGCCAGCAGCCGCGGUAAUACGAAGGGUGCAAGCGUUAUCCGGAUUCAUUGGGUUUAAAGGGUGCGUAGGCGGAGCGUUAAGUCAGUGGUGAAAUCCUGCAGCUUAACUGUAGACUUGCCAUUGAUACUGGCGCUCUUGAGUGCGCUUGAAGUGGGCGGAAUGUGCCGUGUAGCGGUGAAAUGCUUAGAUAUGGCACAGAACACCAAUUGCGAAGGCAGCUCACUAAGGCGAUACUGACGCUGAGGCACGAAAGCGUGGGGAUCGAACAGGAUUAGAAACCCGAGUAGUCC
rnacentral:rRNA from 1 species